UACGUAGGGGGCAAGCGUUGUCCGGAUUUAUUGGGCGUAAAGAGCUCGUAGGCGGUUUGGUAAGUCUGGUGUGAAAUCUCCACGCUCAACGUGGAGGGGCCACCCGAUACUGCCAUGACUGGAGUCCGGUAGAGGAGUGUGGAAUUCCCGGUGUAGCGGUGAAAUGCGCAGAUAUCGGGAGGAACACCCGUAGCGAAGGCGGCACUCUGGGCCGGAACUGACGCUGAGACACGAAAGCGUGGGUAGCAAACAGG
rnacentral:rRNA from 1 species